CCCUGGCUCAGGAUGAACGCGGGCGGCGUGCUUAACACAUGCAAGUCGAACGAUGACCCGGUGCUUGCACCGGUGAUUAGUGGCGAACGGGUGAGUAACACGUGAGUAACCUGCCCUUAACUCUGGGAUAAGCCUGGGAAACUGGGUCUAAUACCGGAUAUGACUCCUCAUCGCAUGGUGGGGGGUGGAAAGCUUUAUUGUGGUUUUGGAUGGACUCGCGGCCUAUCAGCUUGUUGGUGAGGUAAUGGCUCACCAAGGCGACGACGGGUAGCCGGCCUGAGAGGGUGACCGGCCACACUGGGACUGAGACACGGCCCAGACUCCUACGGGAGGCAGCAGUGGGGAAUAUUGCACAAUGGGCGCAAGCCUGAUGCAGCGACGCCGCGUGAGGGAUGACGGCCUUCGGGUUGUAAACCUCUUUCAGUAGGGAAGAAGCGAAAGUGACGGUACCUGCAGAAGAAGCGCCGGCUAACUA
rnacentral:rRNA from 4 species